rnacentral:rRNA from 1 species
AGGAUUAACGCUGGCGGCGUGCCUAACACAUGCAAGUCGAACGAGGUAGCAAUACCUAGUGGCAGACGGGUGAGUAACGCGUGGUCAACCUACCGUUGAGUGGGGGAUAACUAGCCGAAAGGUUAGCUAAUACCGCAUACGAGUCUCGGGGGCAUCCCUGGGCCAUAAAAGGAGCAAUCCGCUCGAUGACGGGACCGCGUCCCAUUAGCUAGAUGGUGGGGUAACGGCCUACCAUGGCACCGAUGGGUAGCUGGUUUGAGAGAGCGACCAGCCACACUGGGACUGAGAAACGGCCCAGACUCCUACGGGAGGCAGCAGUGAGGAAUUUUCCGCAAUGGGCGAAAGCCUGACGGAGCGACGCCGCGUGUGGGAAGAAGGCCUUCGGGUCGUAAACCACUGUCGAAGGGGACGAUAAUGACGGUACCCUUGGAGGAAGCCCGGCUAACUACGCGCCAGCAGCCGC